UGGGUGUGUUUUAGUCAUUUGGUUAGGUUUGAUCUGACAAAAGCAUAACGAAUUGGGAUGAGUCAAAUAACGUCAUUCAGGAAACAACCCCCAACCCAGGUGGCAAUAAGCUUGCUGUAGGCAGCCAUCCGCCCCAAAACUGAUGUUAAAAACUUUCUUUCCGGGCUUCGCAUAGCCUCCAACAUCAUCAGUAAUGAGUUCCCCUGGGCUUUGCUUCCAUCACCAGUGGACAUCCAGAGCCACAUAUAUAUUUGUGUCACCUUUGCACCUAAGACUGGGCAGUGCAAGCAGAAAAUCUGUUGAAGAGAUUUGUGUUUCAGGGGCCCAGUUCCUCCUUCACACAAUGCAGGGAAAAACACUCAGCUUCCUAGAGAGAUACCAGAAACAAAGUACAUGUUCCUCAAGCACUGCAUUAGUGAUAAUAAAACAUGCACAUUAGUCAGUUACUAUCAUAGUGCCCUGCAUGCAUCAGCAGGCUCUAAUCACCUUGACAAGCCUCACCUGGGCCACCAGCCCUUCUCCCAGGGCUGUAUUUAAGCUCAGGCCCUUGACCCCACUCCUCUUUUGGAGCAGUGCUGUGUUUGUGCUGUGCCUUGCUCCUUGCUCUCUGCAGCCUGACUGCCUGCUGUGGUCUUGGCGCUUCCUCACCCUUGUGGACUUACCUGGUGGUCUGCAGGUCCUGCUCUGCUUUCUGUGCUUAGGUGGCUCCAGCUCAGCUCCUUCUGCAGAGCAUCCUGCUUGCUGUACCCAGCAGGUAUAUUUUGUGGUGCUUCCUGGUGCUCCUGUAACUGUUUGCUCGGACAGAAAGCGUCGUGGCAUCGCAGGAGCAGGCACAGAAAAGCAGUGGGAAGAUGGAGCUGCAGGGAAAAACUCCAAGAGCCAGCGGGAUGGGCUGCUAAUACUUGGUGAUGUCAAGAUGUGCCAUGGCCGACUACCUCCCUGAGCUGCAAGGAGUUGCUGCUGAGACAGGAAUACAGCAAUAGAACAUAAGGCUUUUGGUACAGUGGUAACUGACGUACUUUACUAGUGAAGAAUCAGCUUCUCACACCUAAUUGUUCCAGGUUGUACUUGGAUUCCUAACCACUGGUUGAACAAGCUGAAAUCAAGAAAAAAUAGUUCUUUACUAUUUGCAACAGUGACGCAUCCCCUGCCUUUCCAGCUCAUGCCGAGAUGAUUAGCACCACCUGACACAACAGCUUCCUGAGGAAUUCUGUGAAUGCAGUGUGCUACAGAAAGCCUUGCAGUGAGGAGAAACACAAACACGCCUCACCCUCACCUUGGAAGGAGCUUGAUGCCGUGUGUUUUGAAACCAAGCACUUGAUAAUGUGGAGUACCCUGGUCUUCUCCAUCUCCUGGCCCCAUCCCUGCAGCCAUGGCAAUAGUUUAUCCUGCAAAGCGUGGGGCUGGCACUGAGCAUAGUGCAUGGCUCUUAUCACCAACAACAGGUAAUCUGAGGAGUGGGAGCCUUUUCUCUCUGCCUGCUGCAGCAGUGCGGAGUGUGGUGGAACCACCAGUGCUGGUCCCCCUGCGCCGUUCCCCUCUCCUCCUCAGCUGCCUCCCCUCCUCGAGCUGUCCUUCACACAGGCACCAGCCAACAAGAGGGUAAAAAAGACUAAUAUUAAUAAUUGCAUUAUGAGUUCCAAAGCCAGGAAGCUUGACUGGCCUUUUUAUCGCUGAUAUGAUAAUGUGGUGAGCAGAGAAGAUACCAUCAGAAGUUGCUUUCAUCUCUGGAGAUAUUUAAUAAACUAGAUAUCUAUUUUGGUCUCAGCAAGGAUUCUCAUUGAAGGCAUUCCUGAAAGUCCUAAUCGCUCUGGUUCAUAUGUGUAGUUUGAAACUUGUUAACACCACGGUCCCCCUCCCCAGCAGGGUUCAGCAGCACAGGGCUGUAAUUGUGGAGGAGCUUCAAAGAGCUCUGCUCCUGCCUCCUUGUGAUGCUGAGGGAGGCUGGGCACCAGCGCUCAUUUACCAAGCUACCUGUUAGCAGCAAACAUAGCUAUUAAAGGAUAUCUAUUUCAAACACUGUGACCAAAGACCAGAGUAACACUUUGGCCUCUAUGGCUCUUUUCAUGUGUGGAUCUCAAAGUGCUUUGGCGUUACUAAUUUGAAGCAGAAAUUUUGCUAAUUAGCGUGGAUGUCUGGGAUGGAGGGCUGUGUUUUGCAGAUCAGCUAUGACAUGCACAGUCCUGAUUUACCAUCAGAUGAAGGAUAUCGUAUGGCUUUGUUCAUUUGUCUUAAAAAGCGCGGUUCACUUUGGUUACAAGGAAGGAUAAGCAGCAGUGCUCUACACCAUCAGGUCCCUCACAGGGGAAGCUGCAUCUUAAUUUUGAAACGUGUAUCCAAUCCCUCUCUCUCCCCAGAGUUACAUGGGUGUGGAGAAGGUGAACGAUCUCUAAGUGGAGACCUGAAUUUUCCCCUCUGCCAUCUCUGAUGUCAGUUGCUGGCAAUUUUUCUGCAGAUAACUUGGGUGCUGAACCUGACCUAACAACCACAGAAAGUUUUGUGUGCUGUAUGUUGAAAAAGAGGAUUUUGAUGAGGGAACAUCUGGGGAAGGAAAGGCAGGUCCAGCACCAGUGCUUAUUACUGGGUGCUGGUGCUUACUGGGUUGUGCAGGAGCUGCACUCACUAACUGAUGAUGGGUUUUACAGCAUGGGCCAACAGGCACUGCAGUCCCCUGGGUGCAAAGCCAGGCCUGCUGUGCAGCCUGCCCUGCCCAACAGCUCCUUACACCACUGCAGCACUU